CCCGCUUCUCAGCCUUUCGGCUAAGAUCAAGUGUAGUAUCUGUUCUAGUGAUUAACAGCAUAAUUCAUUUCGGAUAUUUCAAAUGGAGAAUUGAUUUACAUCCGUGUAGGACAGUUAAGGAUUUCUAUAAUAUCCAGCUAUCCACUCAAC
rnacentral:snRNA from 1 species